GCCGUAAGAUUCAAUAUGAUAGAAAAUCUUGAAAAAAAAUUAAUUUUUGGUGUGAACUAAACAAGGCCUAAACAAGCCAUAGAAAGGAAAUCGAUGGAAUCAGAAGAGACAGUGAGCAGUGGAGGACAGGCAGUGAGGGGGAAUCUUGAAAGUGGGCCCUUGUACAUGGCCGAUGUAGAAAAUGGCAUGGAUGAAGAAAAAAAAUAAAAUUAUAAUGGCAA
rnacentral:lncRNA from 1 species